GACGAACGCUGGCGGCGCGCCUAACACAUGCAGGUCGAACGAGCGAGAGAGAGCUUGCUUUCUCAAGCGAGUGGCGAACGGGUGAGUAACGCGUGAGGAACCUGCCUCAAAGAGGGGGACAACAGUUGGAAACGACUGCUAAUACCGCAUAAGCCCACGACCCGGCAUCGGGUAGAGGGAAAAGGAGCAAUCCGCUUUGAGAUGGCCUCGCGUCCGAUUAGCUAGUUGGUGAGGUAACGGCCCACCAAGGCGACGAUCGGUAGCCGGACUGAGAGGUUGAACGGCCACAUUGGGACUGAGACACGGCCCAGACUCCUACGGGAGGCAGCAGUGGGGAAUAUUGCACAAUGGGGGAAACCCUGAUGCAGCGACGCCGCGUGGAGGAAGAAGGUCUUCGGAUUGUAAACUCCUGUUGUUGAGGAAGAUAAUGACGGUACUCAACAAGGAAGUGACGGCUAACUACGUG
rnacentral:rRNA from 1 species